UAAAGAGUUCUAUAGAUUGAGAAGCUAUCUGCAGUGGAGCCGCCACCAAAAUGCAGAUUUUCGUGAAAACCCUUACGGGGAAGACCAUCACCCUCGAGGUUGAACCCUCGGAUACGAUAGAAAAUGUAAAGGCCAAGAUCCAGGGUAAGGAAGGAAUUCCUCCUGAUCAGCAGAGACUGAUCUUUGCUGGCAAGCAGCUGGAAGAUGGACGUACUUUGUCUGACUACAAUAUUCAAAAGGAGUCUACUCUUCAUCUUGUGUUGAGACUUCUGGUGGUGCUAAGAAAAGGAAGAAGAAGUCUUACACCACUCCCAAGAAGAAUAAGCACAAGAGAAAGAAGGUUAAGCUGGCUGUCCUGAAAUACUAUAAGGUGGAUGAGAAUGGCAAAAUUAGUCGCCUUCGUCGAGAGUGCCCUUCUGAUGAAUGUGGUGCUGGGGUGUUUAUGGCAAGCCACUUUGACAGACAUUAUUGUGGCAAAUGUUGUCUGACUUACUGCUUCAACAAACCAGAAGACAAGUAACUGUAUGAGUUAAUAAAAGACAUGAACUAAAAAAAAAAAAAAAAAA
ensembl:lncRNA novel transcript